rnacentral:piRNA from 1 species
AAGGAGUUUUGUUAAGGCUAAUGA